rnacentral:rRNA from 1 species
AUUGAACGCUGGCGGCAUGCCUUACACAUGCAAGUCGAACGGCAGCACGGGAGCUUGCUCCUGGUGGCGAGUGGCGAACGGGUGAGUAAUACAUCGGAACGUACCCGGAAGUGGGGGAUAACGUAGCGAAAGUUACGCUAAUACCGCAUAUUCUGUGAGCAGGAAAGCAGGGGAUCGCAAGACCUUGUGCUUUCGGAGCGGCCGAUGUCGGAUUAGCUAGUUGGCGGGGUAAAGGCCCACCAAGGCAACGAUCCGUAGCGGGUCUGAGAGGAUGAUCCGCCACACUGGGACUGAGACACGGCCCAGACUCCUACGGGAGGCAG